rnacentral:rRNA from 1 species
UUCCGGUUGAUCCUGCCGGACCCCACUGCUAUCGGGAUAGGACUAAGACAUGCUAGUCAAGCGCUUUCUAGCUAAUGUGAGAGCGCGGCGUACAGCUCAGUAACACGUGGCCAACCUGCCCUUGGGACGGGAACACCCCCGGGAAACUGGGGUUAAUUCCCGAUAGGUGAAGAAGUCUGGAAUGAUUCUUCGCUCAAAAGACGUUUAUGUCAUGCUCAUAUUCGUCGCCCAGGGAUGGGGCCGCGACCGAUCAGGUAGUUGGUGAGGCAAUGGCUCACCAAGCCUUUUACCGGUGCGGGCCGUGAGAGCGGGAGCCCGGAGAUGGGCACUGAGACAAGGGCCCAGGCCCCACGGGGCGCAGCAGUCGCGAAAAUUUUGCAAUACACGAAAGUGUGGCAGAGCUAACCCGAGUGCCAUCCGCUGAGGAAGGCUUUUACCCAGUAUAAAUAGCUGGGAGAAUAAGGAGAGGGCAAGUCUGGUGUCAGCCGCCGCGGUAAUACCAGCUCUCCGAGUAGUGUGAACGUUUAUUGGGCCUAAAGCAUCCGUAGCUUGCUAGAUAAGUCCUCUGUUAAAUCCACCGAUUCAAUCGUUGGUUUGCGGGGGAUACUGUUUGGCUAGGGGACGGGAGAGGUCGACGGUAUUUCCGGGGUAGGGGUGAAAUCCUAUAAUCCCGGGAGGACCACCAGUGGCGAAGGCUGUCGACUAGAACGCGCCCGACGGUGAGGGAUGAAAGCUGGGGGAGCGAACCGGAUUAGAUACCCGGGUAGUCCCAGCUGUAAACGAUGCAGGCUAGGUGUUUGGGCGGCCACGAGCCGCCCUAGUGCCGCAGGGAAGCUGUUAAGCCUGCCGCCUGGGGAGUACGGCCGCAAGGAAUC